GACGAACGCUGGCGGCGUGCCUAACACAUGCAAGUCGAGCGAGUGAAUCUCCUUCGGGAGUGAAGCUAGCGGCGGACGGGUGAGUAACACGUGGGCAACCUGCCUCAUAGAGGGGAAUAGCCUUCCGAAAGGAAGAUUAAUACCGCAUAAGAUUGCAGCUUCGCAUGAAGUAGCAAUUAAAGGAGCAAUCCGCUAUGAGAUGGGCCCGCGGCGCAUUAGCUAGUUGGUGAGGUAACGGCUCACCAAGGCGACGAUGCGUAGCCGACCUGAGAGGGUGAUCGGCCACAUUGGGACUGAGACACGGCCCAGACUCCUACGGGAGGCAGCAGUGGGGAAUAUUGCACAAUGGGGGAAACCCUGAUGCAGCAACGCCGCGUGAGUGAUGACGGCCUUCGGGUUGUAAAGCUCUGUCUUCAGGGACGAUAAUGACGGUACCUGAGGAGGAAGCCACGGCUAACUACGUGCCAGCCGCCGCAGUAA
rnacentral:rRNA from 1 species